AUAAGUGUUAUAUAUAUAAGGAGAGCUUACGAAUAAGAUAAAUUAGAUAAUAUUAAUUAUAUCCGUAAGGGAGUUUCCUGACGUAUCCGUAAAUCUGGAUACAAUCGGGUUUUAUUAUGUUUUGUUAUAUCUGUUUUAACGGAGUCAAUUCCAUUAUCUCCAAUGGCCAAUCUUCAUUUUCUUUUCCCGUAGCUAUAUUGUUGGAACGAUUAGCACUAGAACACUCUGGGAGUUCCAACCUUGGGACAUCCGACGAGGGGUUGGUCUCUGCUCGAGCCUCUAGUUCAUCGCAGUUAUUACGGGCAACUCUGCCCUUAUUAAGUAUGUCAGUGUUAUUGUUAUUAGCAAUGCACAUACGCUGCAAGCG
rnacentral:lncRNA from 1 species